CAGCCGCCGCGGGAAUACGUAGGUGGCAAGCGUUGUCCGGAAUUAUUGGGCGUAAAGGGCUCGCAGGCGGUUUCUUAAGUCUGAUGUGAAAGCCCCCGGCUCGACCGGGGAGGGUCAUUGGAAACUGGGAAACUUGAGUGCAGAAGAGGAGAGUGGAAUUCCACGUGUAGCGGUGAAAUGCGUAGAGAUGUGGAGGAACACCAGUGGCGAAGGCGACUCUCUGGUCUGUAACUGACGCUGAGGAGCGAAAGCGUGGGGAGCGAACAGGAUUAGAUACCCGGGUAGUCCCUGUCUCUUAUAA
rnacentral:rRNA from 1 species